rnacentral:tRNA from 1 species
UCCCGGAUAGCUCAGUCGGUAGAGCAAACGACUGUUAAUCGUUGGGUCGCAGGUUCGAAUCCUGCUCCGGGAG